rnacentral:rRNA from 1 species
GACGAACGCUGGCGGCGUGCCUAAUACAUGCAAGUCGAGCGGAGAAUGUGGAGCUUGCUCCACAUUCUUAGCGGCGGACGGGUGAGUAACACGUGGGCAACCUGCCCUGCAGAUCGGGAUAACUCCGGGAAACCGGUGCUAAUACCGAAUAGUUUUUUGCCCCUCCUGGGGCGGAACGGAAAGACGGUUUCGGGUGUCACUGCAGGAUGGGCGCGCGGCGCAUUAGCUAGUUGGUGGGGUAAUGGCCCACCAAGGCGACGAUGCGUAGCCGACCUGAGAGGGUGAUCGGCCACACUGGGACUGAGACACGGCCCAGACUCCUACGGGAGGCAGCAGUAGGGAAUCUUCCGCAAUGGACGCUAGUCUGACGGAGCAACGCCGCGUGAGUGACGAAGGUUUUCGGAUCGUAAAACUCUGUUGUGAGGGAAGAACAAGUACCAAGUAACUACUGGUACCUUGACGGUACCUCACCAGAAUGCCACGGCUAACUACGUGCCAGCAGCCGCAGUAA